GUCGUCCUAAGAGGGAGCCUAGGAGAGGGUGAAGCAAAGGGCAAAAGAUUUCUUCCUAACACCUUGGAGGAGAGAGAGAACGGUUUCCCCGUGUGUAUUAAGAUUAAAAUGAUCCUUGAAGGAAGGAGAACCUGGAGACGUAUACUUACAAUGGAGAGUGACCAAAAAGCUUCUAUCAGUGCUCAGCCUGGGGUGGGCUAGAACCUAGAUGGUCGGCUCAUAGAAGAUAUUCCCCCUCACCCCACAUAAACUCAGCUCACUCUUAUUGAUGAGGAAUGCUGAAAUGGGAAGAACCUAGGAAACAGAAGCCCCAGGACUCUUGUUGCACCCUUGCCAGCCCACCUGGGUGCUUGGCAAAUGUCUCAAGAUUUGACAUAGCUAAUUCCGAAAGUCAGAUACUAUGAUAAAGAAAUGUGGGGGGAAAAACUAUUGACCUAUUUCCUGGAGAAAGA